GACGAACCGUGCGAACGUUGUUCGGAAUCACUGGGCGUAAAGGGCGCGUAGGCGGCGUGUCAAGUCAGGCGUGAAAGCCCCGGGCUCAACCUGGGAACCGCGCUUGAGACUGGCAUGCUCGAGUUCGGGAGAGGAUGGUGGAAUUCCCAGUGUAGAGGUGAAAUUCGUAGAUAUUGGGAAGAACACCGAUGGCGAAGGCAGCCAUCUGGACCGACACUGACGCUGAGGCGCGAAAGCGUGGGGAGCAAACAGG
rnacentral:rRNA from 1 species